rnacentral:rRNA from 1 species
AACGAACGCUGGCGGCAGGCUUAACACAUGCAAGUCGAACGCACCUUUCGGGGUGAGUGGCAGACGGGUGAGUAACGCGUGGGAAUCUACCCUUCUCUACGGGAUAGCUCCGGGAAACUGGAAUUAAUACCGUAUACGUCCUGAGGGAGAAAGAUUUAUCGGGGAAGGAUGAGCCCGCGUUGGAUUAGCUAGUUGGUGGGGUAAAGGCCUACCAAGGCGACGAUCCAUAGCUGGUCUAAGAGGAUGAUCAGCCACAUUGGGACUGAGACACGGCCCAAACUCCUACGGGAGGCAGCAGUGGGGAAUAUUGGACAAUGGGCGCAAGCCUGAUCCAGCCAUGCCGCGUGAGUGAUGAAGGCCCUAGGGUUGUAAAGCUCUUUCAGUGGGGACGAUAAUGACGGUACCCACAGAAGAAGUCCCGGCUAACUUCGUG